CGUGCUAGACGGGGAGGUAGCGGUGCCCUGUAGCCCGCAAUCCGCUAUAGCGGGGUUGAAUUCCACGUCUGAGGUUCACUAUCUUGGGAUGCGUUCCUUGGGGAAAGCGGCGUUGAUCGUCAGGUCCUGCGCAACGGACCCUUGCCAAACCCCGUCAGGACCGGAAGGUAGCAGCGGUAGGCGAUCAGGCACGUGUGCCGCAGGGUCACCUGACAGGAGCUGGCGCCUCCUGGACGCCCCGGGAUGGAGAGACGAAGGCGGGGUGCACG
rnacentral:SRP_RNA from 1 species